rnacentral:rRNA from 1 species
UACGUAGGGUGCGAGCGUUGUCCGGAAUUACUGGGCGUAAAGAGCUCGUAGGUGGUUUGUCGCGUUGUUCGUGAAAACUCACAACUCAAUUGUGGGCGUGCGGGCGAUACGGGCAGACUGGAGUACUGCAGGGGAGACUGGAAUUCCUGGUGUAGCGGUGGAAUGCGCAGAUAUCAGGAGGAACACCCGUGGCGAAGGCGGCACUCUGGGUCGGCCCUGACGCUGAGGCGCGAAAGCGUGGGGAGCGAACGGG